UGUGUGUGUGUGAGAGAGAGAGAGAGAGAGAGAGAGGGAGAGAGAGAGAGCUCUCUCUCUCUCUCUCUCUCACACACACACACA